GCCCCGUUCGUCUAGUGGCCUAGGACGCCGCCCUCUCACGGCGGUAACACGGGUUCAAACCCCGCACGGGGUA
rnacentral:tRNA from 1 species